CCUACGGGAGGCAGCAGUAAGGAAUAUUGGUCAAUGGACGGAAGUCUGAACCAGCCAUGCCGCGUGCAGGAUGACGGCCCUCUGGGUUGUAAACUGCUUUUAUAGGGGACGAAAAAAAGGGGAUUCUUCCUCACUUGACGGUACCCUAGGAAUAAGCACCGGCUAACUCCGUGCCAGCAGCCGCGGUAAUACGGAGGGUGCAAGCGUUAUCCGGAUUUACUGGGUUUAAAGGGUGCGUAGGUGGGUCGGUAAGUCAGCGGUGAAAUCUUCGAGCUUAACUCGGAAACUGCCAUUGAUACUAUCGAUCUUGAAUCGUCUAGAGGUAAGCGGAAUAUGUCAUGUAGCGGUGAAAUGCUUAGAUAUGACAUAGAACACCAAUUGCGAAGGCAGCUUACUAUGGAUGUAUUGACACUGAGGCACGAAAGCGUGGGGAUCAAACAGGAUUAGAUACCCUGGUAGUCCACGACCUAACGAUAGAUACUACGACAUUAGUAGAUAUACUUAAGUUAGUCUGAGAGAAGACAUUAAGUAUCCACCUCGGAAGGUACGAGCGCGAGAGUUAGUAACGUACGAAGUAGUAGUAGUACGCGUGAGACGCGACGACGACGACGACGGAGGGAGGAGG
rnacentral:rRNA from 1 species